UGCUGAAGAGUCCCAAACAGGACGAAACAGCUGUCCA
rfam:Echinostoma caproni strain Egypt genome assembly, scaffold: ECPE_scaffold0000095